ensembl:lncRNA
GUCUUUUGUCUUUUUAGGGCCACACCUGCGGCAUAUGGAGGUUCCCAGGCUAGGGGAUCUAAUCGGAGCUGCAGCUGCCGGCCUCCACCACAGUCACAGCAACGCCAGAUCUGAGCCAUGUCUGCGACCUACAGCACAGCUCACGGCAACACCAGAUCCUUAACCCACUGAGCAAGGCCAGGGAUCGAACCCCGCAACCUCACGGUUCCUGGUCGGAUUCGUGUCUGCUGCGCCAGGACAGGAACUCCCCUAACCAUAUUUCCAAUGCAACCUGGGGAACUUUAAUUAUGGUUCUCACACAGCCAACCAUUUCCCUGCCGUUUGCUAGUGUCUCCGAGUCGUCGGCCGCAGUUACAACCGUAAUCAAUAUUCAUGUGAAAGAGUCUGAAAUAGCCAGCUGAGCAGUUAAAAAUCUUUGUAGUAUAAUCCAAGCUCCCCUUAGAAUACCUACUAUUCAAAUACACUUUCGGAAUCAUAUACGAAUUUAGGUGAAUCUAAACAAAGUGGAUUUCCACUUUUCUUGAGUGUGGCCUCCUCCAGCCUGUCUUAGUCGGUGACGCAAAUGCUCGUGAAAAGACCACCCUAAGCAACUGGACAUUUAUGCUCUCAUCCCGCAAAACUGAUGAAGUCGUUACUAUGCCCAGACACGGCCCGAGCUGCCUGGUCUGCGUUAGCCUAAAAACAAAAUUCCAACCUUUGUGGAGUUUCUAAUGUAUUUAGCAAGUAGCGGAAAAUAACAAGGAUACGUUUAAAUAGAUUAAAUAGCAUGUCACACGGAAACAGGUGCCAUGGAAAAGAGGACACACACAUAUCCAGAUGCUGUUGCGAUGAUGAAGAGCACAGAGGCGGAGGUUGGGAGGAGACGGAAUUCCAGCAGAGACGUCGCGGGGUACCUAGGAGGAGAGCACCCCAAACCGAGAACACAGCUGGCCCUAGAGGGGGAGGGGCCUGCCCCGUGGGAGGAAUAACGAGGAGGCCGGGGGCGGGCUUGAGGGAGGAGAGGAGAGGAGAGGCGACGACCUCAAAGCCCUUUGGCUUUACCUCUGAGCAAAAUGAACCAAUUUACAAAUGUCUCUUCUUCCCGGGAAGAAGCCCCCUACACUUAGGGGGGGCGCUGAAAGCCUACUCUCAUAUGUGAAUAAGGGAGGCAUGCAUAUUUAACGGUAAAAAAAAAAAUCAAAUAAAAAUGCACCAUUUUCCUUAGGAACACUUUCGCAGGUAGAAUGCAUUUCAACUGACUGGCCGGAGAAACAAAGGGACACCGGCUGGAGGAAGAGGUGGCGGUUCUUCACAGGGAAGGGGCAGGACGUCAAAGCUGUGGACGGCGCUAUUUGACUCAACGAGGCUCAGUCCAUUUCCAUGGGGGCCUGUGCAAAACAGGAUAGAGUCUCAUCGCCUUAAGCUGGUGCCCUUUCCACACCACCAGGAGGCUAACAGAAAGGAGAACGAAAGUUACUGCUUCUUAACCUGUGGUUUCUGGACCACGAGCACAGCCUCACCUGGGGGCACCUGUGAAAAACGCCCAUCCCUGGGGACGCUUCCCAGGCUUUCUGGAUAAUUCGUAUGUAUCUAAAGUUUGAGGACACUGAAUACAAAGACAACUUCUUUUUUUUUUUAAGCCACGCCCACAGCAUGCUGACGUUCCUGAGCCGAGGAUCAAACCCACACCAUGGCAGUGACCCAAGCCCACAACAGUGACAAAGCCAGAUCCCUAACCUGAUAGGCCACCAGGGAACUCCCCAAAUGAUGAUUUCUUAAGGGUCUCUCUGACUCUGGACUUCUCUGGACCGAGCGUCUCAUGCUGGGUCCCUGGAUGUUUAAUCCUGGCGUGUUUGGUCUGUGGUUUCCAGGGCCACAGAUCUUUGCAUGAGAUGAAGAGGAAAGAGUUGAGAACAUCUUCGGAUAUGUCAGCAAGGAAGGAAGAUGGCUGCGAUCGCCGUGUAAAUCAUGGGUCGUUUCUGUAACUGCAGAAUCAUUAAAAACGUGUAGAGUCAUUGGACGGGGGUCGCCUUGCAGUGAUGUUUCCACCUGAGUGUAUAUUAAUUCCUCUGAGAGAGCAGUUGUGGAUUCUGAUGAUUCGAGCCACAGAGAAGUAAUGAUGGCUAAAUACCUGAGUUUUAUGGCUUUGUUAGCUAUGUUAACAGCCAAUGACAACACAAUCUAAAGAGAUUUGCUAUUUGGCUUUAGAAGAAGUAUCAAGCUAAAAGUAUAAUUAAAACGUUUAUUAACCAGCCAAGUUGAAAAGGCUAGGAGUUACAGUAUCUGAAGCGCAGCAAUGACGUGCUUCCACUCUGUCCUAUGGCCACUUUGUCUCGUGGAAUAUCCUCCCUGCUCAACCACCCCCAGCUCAACACGAACUGAAGAACUGGGCUCACGCCUUACCUUUAGUUUCUAGUUUGAGCUCCAGAAAGACUUGGAAAAAAAAUUCUUACUUGCAAAGCCAGCAAUUACUGAAAUUUUCUAAUUACCCUGUCUGAGAGCUUUCUUCAUACUGGGGUGAUGCAGAGGGUCUCUCCAUGUUUUUAAAGGUCAAAUUACCUUGCUUCAGGAGCUUCUGGUGGUGGGCCAAAUGAGAUGAGCUUAAUUUAAUCUGUCUCUGCUGCUUUUCUUUCAAUCCAAAGGGGCAUCCAUCAUGGGCUUCUCAUUCUGACUGAUAUUGAUCAGGUAAUUGCCCUCAGCUUGUCAAACUAUCAUGAUUUUUGUAAGAAUGAGUCUUUUCUAGAAGAAAGUAGGCCUGAGAGAGAGAGAAAGAGAUGCAAAGAUUUCAAUUAGAACUUUGCCCAAAAGCCAGUAGAAGGCAAGAUGGACAGAAGAGAGACGAGGUAGAGAAGGAAGAGGGAAGGCGAGUGAGUAAGGGUGCUACGUAGACAGCGCUGUGUCCCCCCCCCCCUUUUAGUUCUAGGGAACUCUGUGUGCUGCCCUUCUACCCUGCCCACCCGUGAAUCACGAUGAUGCAUUUGGGGCAGGUCCGGAAAAAGUUGAGGGCCAGCCCCUCACACAACUCAGCGAAGGCCAGUCUUAACACAGCCAACCUUGAGCUCCCUCUAGCAAGGGGUGAAAGCAAACCACCAGCCUUCCUUAACCUUCUGCCUCAGGAUCAAGGCGAAGACUACUUUGAGGCUCAGGCCAAUUAUCCUCUUUGCCUCUGCCGGUCAGAUGUUAAUAACCAUUGGCCAGCUCUUCCAUUUAUCCCAGAUUAUUAGGGUGAAGAUGGAGCCCGAAAGGAAAGGGAAAACAGAAAACCUCCUGCCAGGAGCGGAGCUCCCCCAGGAAAGCGCAGGGCACGGACGCGGGGGACGUGGCCUGAAGGCGACUGGCCCGCAAACCGGGACCAUCCUUCGAGACGCAACGAGCCCUGUGCAAGCCCCUGCACGGCCGUCCGGGAAACCGAGCGAGCUUGCGGGAGCUCCUGCGAAGAGUCUAGAAAGGCCCAGGGAGCCUCGUCCAGGGCGUCACGACCGCUAACCACCUGUCCAGGGACCUGGCCCCCCUCGCUGCGGGUGCGGGAGAUGGAGCACGCAGCCUGGUCACCUUCCGGGAAUUCUGGAAAUAAUCCCUUAAAAGGCCAGCCUUAAAGCGGCUGGCUCUUUUUCAGACCUGGUGGACCUGAGACCCCCUUCACCUGGAGGCCUUCACCCCUCCCAUAAUAACGCUGGUAAAAAAUGCACCCAGGACCCACACUAAACCUCAGAGGGGGACAGUCUUUUCUCAAAAGCGUUUGCGAAUUUGCUCUUAAAAGAAUUUUUUAACUUGAUUCACACGGGUUCCGAGCUCUGGGCCAUCAUCAGGCACAGGUGAAAAUGUCACCAGGUGACAACAUCGGAACCUACGGCUAGGUUUCAAAUGCAGUGCAGUUUUAGUGAAUAUUAACUUUGACGAGUAAUCAAGUUGGUAAAAUAUCCCAUCAUGUCGGUGUUUAAUACAACAUCUAUCAAAAAUCCAUCCCGCGAUUUUCUUGGUGGUAUUUCGAAGCCAAUUUUUUUGAGCAAAACUUCACAUCUCAGAUGAAUAUAUGCCCUGACCUGGGUUCUUUCAACUGUCGUAACAUGAACACAAUGAAAAAUGUUGUUGGUUGGAUCUUUAUACGAGUUUUGCUGUAGAAAAAAAUAUACAUAUUUUUUUUGUCCUUGCCCUGGAGCGCGUGGAAGUUCCUGGGACAGGGAUCAACCCGAGGCACAGCAGUGACAAUGCAGGAUCCUUAACUCACUGAGCUACCAGGAAAUUCCUGCCCUAGAAAUUUUGAAAGUCUGUCCCUUGCAAAGUGAACCUUAUAUCAUCGUUCACCUCCUGCUGGGGACCAGAGCUGCCUGGACACCAUCCACGGUCUGGAUGUUAUGUGACCCUGGGAAAGUAUAAACGGAGGACAGGGACGAGGCUCGGCUCCACCUGAAAGGACUUAUCUGAUCCCCAGAGAAAGAUCGUAAUAAGUUGAAGUUACUGAGGAAGAAAAAGAAGACGCAGGGAAAAUAACUAAAGGAAAUGGAAAAUGGGUUUUUUUUUAGUUUGUUUUUUGUCAUUUCUGGGUUGCAAGGUCUCCCUUUCUCUUUUAAUGUCUUUCUCACACAAUCUCCUUUUUCUCAUCUAGGUCUCAAAAGAAUUGCCAGAGGUAUGUCGGGCUACCGCGGUAAACACCCAGAGAUGCCGCAGAUCAAAAAUCGCUUCCCGCGCUCUUCCUCGCUUCCAAUUGGCCCUCCCGCAGGAAACCUCCGUCCCUGCAGCGGACCUGAGGGCCCAGCCGUC